rnacentral:tRNA from 1 species
GCGAAAGUGGCGGAACUGGUAGACGCGCCAGAUUUAGGAUCUGGUGGUCGAGAGGCCGUGUGGGUUCGAGUCCCAUCUUUCGCACCA